CUCGGGUCCUACGGUCACCAGACUGCGGGGCGGGCGGGCCUCAGCAUGCAGGCGCAGUAACCUCAAAACCCCGAAGCUGGAACCUUUCUUUCCUGGUAGCUGGCAACUUCACCUCUGCCCUGGGCUUGAUUUUCCUGACCACUCCUCCCCAUCUUCUUUGUCUUCAAGGUUUUCCCUGUCCCUGCACUGCUCGUUUGGUCACCUUUUGAGAGAAAAGAACACUGAUCCCAUUAAAAGGCCCUGUUGUUUGCCAGAUGAGGUCACCAGACUGGUAAGUAGCAAGGCUGGGACUCCACUAGGAAUAUCUGACUUUAAAAGCCAUGUUCCUGUCACCCAGAAUGCACAUGCUGAUGCAGCUGAACAGAAGAGAAGGAUUCCCCUCUUACCCAACACAAGAGAGACCUGAAUAUCCCAGGCUGCCUCUUGCAAAAUUCUUGGACCUCUUCGACCUUCCUCGCUGCUGCUUCCCUCAUUCUUUCAGUGCGUUCAUUCUACAAACAUGCCUCAAGGGCGCAUGAUGUGUAGAUCCUAGUGGCAGAGCAGAGAACCUAACAUGAGCUCAGAAGCUUACUUUCUCCCAUUCCCUCCUGGUUUCUAACCUCAUGGCUUCAACUUCCACACCUGGAGAGGUCCUAUGAUGGUAAAUGACUUGCUUCUCCAGGGGAGCUGAGACGCGUCAAAAGAAGGCCUCUCUGUGGAAGGAGGAUGUGUGUCCACCCACCAAGAAGGUUUUGAUGGUCAGUGUCUGCGUAUCCAGCUGCUGGGGUGAAGAGAUUUGGAAAUCACUGAACAUUCCUGUUGGGAGCUUUCCAAGCCCUUUUGGGAACCGGCAACAGCGCUUGUCUGGGGAAAUUAGUUUUGCACUUUCACAGAGUGAGAAAUUCCUCAGGGGCAUUCUUGUUCUUGGGAAGAGAAAUCAAACCCAGCGCAUUCCUUCAGGGCCCAAGCCCGUAGUAAAGCAUACCGAGUCCAGUUCGGGUGGUCCAGUUUGGGGCCUUGGGGUGGGGCAGGCGCAGCAGAGUUCUGCGAAUUUCACCUGUGACUAAGUCCCAACCCCCGCGCCUGGCGCGAGCUUGAGAUUUCAGGGGAUCGUGUUACCAGUGUGUAAACACCUUGAGUAAUGGCCAACGCUCCCAAGCGACCAUGGAGGAUCUCAAAGCCUUCCUAUCUUCCUAGAAACCUUGGCGGCCCGGCCGGCUGUUUGCUGUCUGAUGCAACAGUUUGCAACGCGGUUCUGGGAGCCGAGCCUGCCGCGGGGCGCUGGGCGUCCCGCUCACGCGCAUGCGCGGGCUGCGGCCCGCCGGGUCGGGCGGGGGAGAAGCUUUUCACCAGAUGUGCGGGGGGCAGGGCGGACGGGGAGACCUUUGGCAGCUCGCGCCGGCGAUCUGAGCUUAAUUAAACUUCUCCCGAGGCACUGGCUGACUGAUUGACCCAGUGAUCCAAAAAAAUCACAGAGGCCCGAAUCGCCCUAAACGAGGCGGGAGAGCGAAGUUGGGGAGUUGGCUUUCGUUUUUCAGAGCUGGCUGGGGUUUUGGAUUCGGCCUUCCUUCCCCGAGCCCCGCAAUCCACAAUGCUUUCGGGGUUCCAGAGUCCAGGAGGGCGUCAGGCCUCGUUUGUGUGGGCCCUCCCACCGAUUUCUCACAGAAGGAACAACAACGGUUGUAGAGGGGAAAAGAAGGGGAAGAGAGGCAGUUUUGAUAGCAUCUAGAUCGGUAUCUUUCUUGCUUCAUUUCUCCACCCUUGCGGUGUGCCUUAGAAGGUUUUAUAAGCAGAAACGAACAUGGCAUCGUGGAUAAUUUUCCAAGUUUUUGAGCCAUUUAGGUAUUCCUCUAUGAUUUUCUUCCAUACCCACAUUCUUCCUAUAUUAUAUAAAUUGACUUCUAUUAACUUUCCUUAUUUUUAAAAUUAUCUUUAAAAUCAAUUCCCUUUUUAACAUAGCCUUGUCCUAAGCAACAUUAGGAAAACCACAGCUUUGAUGUGCUAGUCAUAUAUGUUAAUACACUUGAAAAUAAACUCAUAACUAUUCAAAUUUAAAAAUGUGUU
rnacentral:lncRNA from 1 species